GACGAACGCUGGCGGCGUGCUUAACACAUGCAAGUCGAGCGAUGAAGUUCCUACGGGAAUGGAUUAGCGGCGGACGGGUGAGUAACACGUGGGUAACCUGCCUCAUAGAGGGGAAUAGCCUUCCGAAAGGAAGAUUAAUACCGCAUAAGAUUGUAGUAUCGCAUGAUAUAGCAAUUAAAGGAGUAAUCCGCUAUGAGAUGGACCCGCGUCGCAUUAGCUAGUUGGUGAGGUAACGGCUCACCAAGGCGACGAUGCGUAGCCGACCUGAGAGGGUGAUCGGCCACAUUGGGACUGAGACACGGCCCAGACUCCUACGGGAGGCAGCAGUGGGGAAUAUUGCACAAUGGGCGAAAGCCUGUUGCAGCAACGCCGCGUGAGUGAUGAAGGCCUUCGGGUUGUAAAGCUCUGUCUUUUGGGACGAUAAUGACGGUACCAAAGGAGGAAGCCACGGCUAACUACGUGCCAGCAGCCGCGGUAACAC
rnacentral:rRNA from 1 species